GAGAGCAGUGUAUACCGCAGACAUCAUUUCUACUACAGUGGCGGAGACGUGCAGGACCUGUUUCACUGCAGGGGGAUAAAAACCAGCCCUAUGCAACGGAAGCAAAAGCAACAGCAGCCGCAAGACAUUGUUUCUCUCUCUCUCUCUGCGCCCCCUUCCCCCCAGCAACCCCAGAUCCAUUUACACUUUACAUAAACUUCUCUGGCCUGGAGACCUAGGGAUCUUGAGAGGAUUUAUUAUAUGGAGAAUGCUGUCCGGCUCUUCUCCAUCUCCACUGAAGAGAGACAAAGAGGAAAUGGGCUUCAACUGCAGCAGGAGAUAUUGAGGGCACCAGAGCCCAGGGAAAGACUGUAUCGCCAGAGCCCCAGAAAAAUUGCUGCCACAUCAAGUGAAAAGAAAAAGCCUGGACGUUUGGCUGCUGGAAUUGUCCUGAAACACACUCGGGUUUAGGCCUGGGCAGAUCACAUUAUUGCAUUUCUCUACUUCUACCACUUCCUGCUCCUGCGGUGUCUGCUUGAAGAGACCAUCUGGGGGGAAUGAAUUGGUCACCAAUGCCUCCAGCUCUUUCUACCUAAGGAAUUCACCCA